AAGGUGCUAGUAAAACAGAACAUUACACUGCUUUGUCAAGGCAAAAUUGCUGGUUUAAACCCUGCGCACCUUA
rnacentral:tRNA from 1 species